UUUUUAAUCAUCAUUUAACUUUAUUUUAACAAUAGCUCACAUGAUUAGUUUUAGCCAAAUAUCAAUCGUUUUGUUCGCAUAAUGCAACAAUUUCAUCAUACUAGCUAAAUUACAAAAUAUUAUUAUUUAAGGAAUCGAUGCAAUCAAUUUAUAAAUUGUUGAAAGUAAUUAAAUUAAAGUGUAAGAUUGAAUGAGAAAAAAUGGGAUUGCAUUAUAUAUUUAUAUAAAAGUAGGUAAAAAAAAAAUAUACCCGUUUGAGCCAUUUUUAGAAAUAACCUUGUUUUUGUGCAUGAACAUCUCAUGUAUAACGCCGGUACGUUGCCGCCGGUGUUACAGGUUGGCAUGGCUAUCGGUAGGGAUUAUAUAGUGUGUUAAGAUUACCAAGGACCAGGAUGCUGAUCCUCAAUAAUGGUGCCAUUGUUGUUAUCCUUUCAUGCUCUUUGGUUGUCUGGCUUUUUUUUUCUUUCUUUUUUUUUUUUUUUUUUUGCUUGGAACAGACUGAUGCAGGGGACUCUGCUUCAUCUGCAGUUCAUGGAAUGAAUGAAUAUGGAUUUGGAUUAGAGAGCAGACAAUUCAUGCUAGGUCUUCUAUGCGAUCCACUAGUCAUAGAUUCCAUAGCUAACUAUUUGAAGCUGUCAGAUUCUCAGACCAUUUGAGGUUGCUAUGGACAACAACGUACCUCAAAUGUUAUCAGCUCCACUUGAUCCCCAGAUAUGGCUACAGUCACAUGCUAGUUGCCAGCAAUACUUAUGAUCAGGCCUACAGCCAUCAUCAACUGAGCUAUGCUCAAAAACAUCUCUGGUCUUGCCGCCACAGCAACUUACGGGCAAACUACCUUGCCAUCUCAACCAGAUGCCGCAACCAGCUAUAGCCGUAGCUAGAAUAAGAAUGUAUAUCUAAUAUUUGUUGAGUAAGUCUGAACAAGUGGAUCUGUGGCGCAAUGGUAGCGCGUCUGACUCCAGAUCAGAAGGUUGCGUGUUCGAUUCACGUCAGGUUCAUUUCCCACAGAAAUUUAAUUUUUUGGCUGAA